GACGAACGCUGGCGGCGUGCUUAACACAUGCAAGUCGAACGGAAAGGCCCUGCUUUUGUGGGGUGCUCGAGUGGCGAACGGGUGAGUAACACGUGAGUAACCUGCCCUUGACUUUGGGAUAACUUCAGGAAACUGGGGCUAAUACCGGAUAGGAGCUCCUGCUGCAUGGUGGUGGUUGGAAAGUUUCGGCGGUUGGGGAUGGUCUCGCGGCUUAUCAGCUUGUUGGUGGGGUAGUGGCUUACCAAGGCUUUGACGGGUAGCCGGCCUGAGAGGGUGACCGGCCACAUUGGGACUGAGAUACGGCCCAGACUCCUACGGGAGGCAGCAGUGGAGAAUAUUGCACAGUGGGCGGAAGCCUGAUGCAGCAACGCCGCGUGCGGGAUGACGGCCUUCGGGUUGUAAACCGCUUUCGCCUGUGACGAAGCGUGAGUGACGGUAAUGGGUAAAGAAGCACCGGCUAACUACGUG
rnacentral:rRNA from 1 species